AGAGUUUGAUCAUGGCUCAGAACGAACGUUGGCGGCAUGGAUUAGGCAUGCAAGUCGAGGGAAUCCCAGCAAUGGGGGAACCGGCGUAAGGGGCAGUAAGGCAUGGGUACCUACCCUGAAGUUCGGGAUAGCCAUCAGAGAUGGUGGGUAAUACCGGAUGAUGUCGUGAGACCAAAGAUUUAUCGCUUUGGGAGGGGCCCAUGUGAUAUUAGCUAGUUGGUGAGGUAACGGCUCACCAAGGCAAAGAUGGCUAGCGGGUAUGAGAGUACGACCCGCGCCACUCGCACUGAGACACUGGCGAGACACCUACGGGUGGCUGCAGUCGAGGAUCUUCGGCAAUGGGCGAAAGCCUGACCGAGCGAUGCCGCGUGCGCGAUGAAGGCCUUCGGGUUGUAAAGCGCUUUAGUGGGGGAGAAAAGCCCGAAAGGGUUUGAUCUAUCCCAAAAAUAAGCUCGGGCUAAGUUCGUGCCAGCAGCCGCGGUAAUAC
rnacentral:rRNA from 1 species